AGCAGUAGCCGCGGUAAUACGUAGGUGGCAAGCGUUGUCCGGAAUUAUUGGGCGUAAAGGGCUCGCAGGCGGUUUCUUAAGUCUGAUGUGAAAGCCCCCGGCUCAACCGGGGAGGGUCAUUGGAAACUGGGAAACUUGAGUGCAGAAGAGGAGAGUGGAACUCCACGUGUAGCGGUGAAAUGCGUAGAGAUGUGGAGGAACACCAGUGGCGAAGGCGACUCUCUGGUCUGUAACUGACGCUGAGGAGCGAAAGCGUGGGGAGCGAACAGGAUUAGAUACCCCCGUAGUCCCUGUCUCUUAUAA
rnacentral:rRNA from 1 species